CAUUGUUUCAUCGUCCCCAACUCAUUCAAAGGAUCAUCGUUUGAGACUGAAAAGCCCUAUAUGGAUUUACCAUGCAAUGCAUGCUUCCAGUAGAAUGCACAGCCAACAACUACUGUAUGGUUUGCAUUCCCCGCCGAAGGACCCUGUCAUGCGGAAUAGGUGGUUGGAGUUCGUUGGUCCCCAGUGAGGAUCUAUCCACUGCCUUCCACACCAUGAACCAUCAGAUCCUCCUCUUUACCCUCUCAGGGUUGGGCAUCUCAGGAUCUGCACACUCCUGGAUUGCAUCCUAUCUGGCAGGUCGCUCCUACCAGGAGGCGUGGAGAGGAUCUGUGUCUGCAUCACGUACUCUCACUACUGGUGUCCCCCAGGCCUUGGUUCUAGGCCCUCUCCUCUUUUCUCUUUACACCAAGUCACCCGGCUCUGUUAUAUCUUCACAUAGUCUCUCCUAUCAUUGCUAUGCGGAUGACACAGCUAUUCUUCUCUUUCCCCCCUUCUGACAACUAAGUGUAUACACAUAUAUCUACGUGCCUGACAGACAUCUCAGCUUGGAUGUCAGCCUACCACCUCAAGCUCAACUUCGACUAGACGGAGCUGUUCUUCCUCCUGGGAAAGUCCCUCUCCAAGACCUCUCCAUCACAGUUGACCACUCCACAGGGACCCCCUCCCAGUGUGCAAAGAACCUUGGCGUGUUCCUGGACAACACACUGUCAUUCUCUGCAAACAUCAAAGCAGUAACUUGUUCGUGCCUGCAGGUUUAUGCUCUACAACAUCCGUAGAGUACAAACUUUCCUCACACAGGAAGCGGAGCAGGUCAUAAUCCAGGCACUUGUCGUCUCCCGUCUGGGCGACUGCAACUCUCUGUUGGCUGGGCUCCCCGCUUGUGCCAUCAAACCCUUGCAACUUAUCCAGAAUGCUACAGCCCGGGUGAUGAUUAACCUUCCUUAGUUCUCCCAUGUCACCCCGCUCCUCUGCACACUUCACUGGCUUCAAGUCAAAGUUUGCAUCAUUUUCAAGACCCUGGUGUUUGCCUACGGAGCAGCAAAGGGAACUACAACAUCCUUACCUUCAGGCUAUACUCAAACCCUACAUCCCAACCAGCGCACUUCGUUCAUCCACCUCUGGUCUCUAAAAAAACUAUUAUCUUUUGCCAUGAGCACCGACUUGAUAAAUACUUUGUUGAGAGAAAAUGCAGUUGAUACGAUUGUGGUGUGUUGUUGUCUUUACCUAGCUAUCUUAAAAGAUAAAUGCACUAAUUGCAAGUCGCUCUGGAUAAGAGUGACUAAAAUAUAAAUGUAAUGCCUUUGCUGUGGGCCACAUGUUGGCAAGUAUCCAGCUAGCAACCUUCCACUGUCAGAAGCAACAGCUUUCACAGACUCAUCAUUUGUACAAAUACAAAGGUAACCCACUUCAUUACUUUGAUACAUUUGAUAACCCAAUUGUGAAACAUAAUUUAUGUAAACUGACAUGAUUCAGGGUUUUUUCUUCUACUUCUUAGAGGCAUAUAAUAUCCAGGGCAUGACCUAGCCUGGUGGAAACAGCCUGAUUGCUGUGUUCAUCAUUGUAUUUCACUUCACAUUUUAUGAUAUCUGAAGUGAAAUAGAAAGGUGAAUACAGUGAUCAGGUUGUUUCCACCAGGCUAAUCAUAACAACCCAUCAAUGGGGCUCUUGCAAAGACCUCACCUCUUCCCUGGUCAUUGAUGAGGAGAACAGAAUUCGAUGGACUGGAGAUGAUAGGGAGACCAUAGUUAGAAACAUGUAUGAAACUUGCAAGAUGAUGUGAUGAAGUGCAGACUGACAGAUGGGCUUGAUACUGAUGUCUUUGGAGAGAGAUCUGGCACUCUGCAAUAACAUGGUACUAGACACAACUUUUAUUGUAUUUUUUAUUAUUGAAUCAAGAAGGUCUGACCACUCUGACAUGUGUGCCAAGGUGGCCCCAUUACCACCAGACAAAAUGCAGAUAAGCACAGUAUUUGUAAUGGCUGGGAAUGACAAUGAAAGAUGAAAGGUGCACAUUGUUAUAUUAGCAGAACACUGCGUCUAUGUUAUUAUGUAAAGGGUGUUUAUUCUACAUUGACCU